rnacentral:rRNA from 1 species
AAGACGGUCUUGCUGUCACUUAUAGAUGGAUCCGCGCUGCAUUAGCUAGUUGGUAAGGUAACGGCUUACCAAGGCAACGAUGCAUAGCCGACCUGAGAGGGUGAUCGGCCACACUGGAACUGAGACACGGUCCAGACUCCUACGGGAGGCAGCAGUAGGGAAUCUUCCGCAAUGGGCGAAAGCCUGACGGAGCAACGCCGCGUGAGUGAUGAAGGUCUUCGGAUCGUAAAACUCUGUUAUUAGGGAAGAACAUAUGUGUAAGUAACUGUGCACAUCUUGACGGUACCUAAUCAGAAAGCCACGGCUAACUACGUGCCAGCAGCCGCGGUAAUACGUAGGUGGCAAGCGUUAUCCGGAAUUAUUGGGCGUAAAGCGCGCGUAGGCGGUUUUUUAAGUCUGAUGUGAAAGCCCACGGCUCAACCGUGGAGGGUCAUUGGAAACUGGAAAACUUGAGUGCAGAAGAGGAAAGUGGAAUUCCAUGUGUAGCGGUGAAAUGCGCAGAGAUAUGGAGGAACACCAGUGGCGAAGGCGACUUUCUGGUCUGUAACUGACGCUGAUGUGCGAAAGCGUGGGGAUCAAACAGGAUUAGAUACCCUGGUAGUCCACGCCGUAAACGAUGAGUGCUAAGUGUUAGGGGGUUUCCGCCCCUUAGUGCUGCAGCUAACGCAUUAAGCACUCCGCCUGGGGAGUACGACCGCAAGGUUGAAACUCAAAGGAAUUGACGGGGACCCGCACAAGCGGUGGAGCAUGUGGUUUA